UACGGAGGGUGCAAGCGUUAUCCGGAUUUACUGGGUUUGAAGGGUGUGUAGGCGGACUUUUAAGUCAGCGGUGAAAUCUCCGGGCUCAACCCGGAAACUGCCAUUGAUACUAUUGGUCUUGAAUGUUGUUGAGGUGGGCGGAACGGGUCAUGUAGCGGUGAAAUGCAUAGAUAUGACCCGGAACACCGAUUGCGAAGGCAGCCCACUAAGCAAUGAUUGACGCUGAGGCACGAAAGCGUGGGGAUCAAACAGG
rnacentral:rRNA from 1 species